AACUUAAAUGAAUUGACGGGGCCCGCACAAGCGGUGGAGCAUGUGGUUUAAUUCGAUGAUACGCGAGGAACCUUACCUGGGCUCAAAUGUAUGUUUGACGUAUUCUGAAAGGGAUACUUCUUCGGACAAUAUACAAGGUGCUGCAUGGUUGUCGUCAGCUCGUGUCGUGAGGUGUUGGGUUAAGUCCCGCAACGAGCGCAACCCUUGCCUUUAGUUGCCAGCAGUUCGGCUGGGCACUCUAAAGGGACUGCCGGUGUUAAACCGGAGGAAGGUGGGGAUGACGUCAAGUCCUCAUGGCCUUUAUGACCAGGGCUACACACGUACUACAAUGGCCGAUACAAAGGGCAGCGACACUGCGAGGUGAAGCCAAUCCCGUAAAAUCGGUCUCAGUCCGGAUUGGAGUCUGCAACUCGACUCCACGAAGUUGGAAUCGCUAGUAAUCGUGGAUCAGCAUGCCACGGUGAAUACGUUCCCGGGCCUU
rnacentral:rRNA from 1 species